UACGUAGGAGGCAAGCGUUAUCCGGAUUUAUUGGGCGUAAAGCGCGUGCAGGUGGUAUGGUAAGUUGGGUAUGAAAUCUUCUGGCUUAACUGGGAGAGGUUGCUCAAAACUGCCAAACUAGAGGACGGUAGAGGAAGGUGGAAUUCCCGGUGUAGUAGUGAAAUGCGUAGAUAUCGGGAGGAACACCAGUGGCGAAGGCGGCCUUCUGGGCCGUUCCUGACACUAAGACGCGAAAGCAUGGGUAGCAAACGGG
rnacentral:misc_RNA from 1 species